UGACGAGCGGCGGACGGGUGAGUAAUGCAUAGGAAACUGCCCAGUAGUGGGGGAUAGCCCGGGGAAACCCGGAUUAAUACCGCGUACGCCCUUCGGGGGAAAGCAGGGGAUCUUCGGACCUUGCGCUAUUGGAUGUGCCUAUGUCGGAUUAGCUAGUUGGUGGGGUAAAGGCCUACCAAGGCGACGAUCCGUAGCUGGUCUGAGAGGAUGAUCAGCCACAUCGGGACUGAGACACGGCCCGAACUCCUACGGGAGGCAGCAGUGGGGAAUAUUGGACAAUGGGGGCAACCCUGAUCCAGCCAUGCCGCGUGUGUGAAGAAGGCUUUCGGGUUGUAAAGCACUUUCAGUGAGGAGGAAAAGUUGGUCGUUAAUACCGGUCAGCCUUG
rnacentral:rRNA from 1 species